AUUGAACGCUGGCGGCAUGCUUUACACAUGCAAGUCGAACGGUAACAGCACUUCGGUGGCUGACGAGUGGCGAACGGGUGAGUAAUACAUCGGAACGUGCCUAGUAGUGGGGGAUAACUACUCGAAAGAGUAGCUAAUACCGCAUGAGAUCUAAGGAUGAAAGCAGGGGACCUCCGGGCCUUGCGCUACUAGAGCGGCUGAUGGCAGAUUAGGUAGUUGGUGGGAUAAAAGCUUACCAAGCCGACGAUCUGUAGCUGGUCUGAGAGGACGACCAGCCACACUGGGACUGAGACACGGCCCAGACUCCUACGGGAGGCAGCAGUGGGGAAUUUUGGACAAUGGGCGCAAGCCUGAUCCAGCAAUGCCGCGUGCAGGAUGAAGGCCUUCGGGUUGUAAACUGCUUUUGUACGGAACGAAAAGCCCUCUUCUAAUACAGGAGGGUCAUGACGGUACCGUAAGAAUAAGCACCGGCUAACUACGUG
rnacentral:rRNA from 1 species